GAGUUUGAUCGUGGCUCAGAACGAACGCUGGCGGCAUGCCUAACACAUGCAAGUCGAACGAACUCUUCGGAGUUAGUGGCGCACGGGUGCGUAACGCGUGGGAAUCUGCCCUUGGGUACGGAAUAACUCAGAGAAAUUUGUGCUAAUACCGUAUAAUGACUUCGGUCCAAAGAUUUAUCGCCCAAGGAUGAGCCCGCGUAAGAUUAGCUAGUUGGUGGGGUAAAGGCCUACCAAGGCUACGAUCUUUAGCUGGUCUGAGAGGAUGAUCAGCCACACCGGGACUGAGACACGGCCCAGACUCCUACGGGAGGCAGCAGUGGGGAAUAUUGGACAAUGGGCGAAAGCCUGAUCCAGCAAUGCCGCGUGAGUGAUGAAGGCCUUAGGGUUGUAAAGCUCUUUUACCCGGGAUGAUAAUGACAGUACCGGGAGAAUAAGCUCCGGCUAACUCCGUGCCAGCAGCCGCGGUAAG
rnacentral:rRNA from 1 species